ACGAACGCUGGCGGCGUGCUUAACACAUGCAAGUCGAACGGUGAAGCGCCUUCCUUUUUGGUGGGUGUGGAUGAGUGGCGAACGGGUGAGUAACACGUGAGUAACCUGCCCCCUUCUUCUGGAUAACCGCAUGAAAGUGUGGCUAAUACGGGAUAUUCUGGGUCUGUCGCAUGAUGGGUCUGGGAAAGAUAUUGUUUCGGUGGGGGAUGGGCUCGCGGCCUAUCAGCUUGUUGGUGGGGUGAUGGCCUACCAAGGCGGUGACGGGUAGCCGGCCUGAGAGGGCGGACGGUCACACUGGGACGGAGACACGGCCCAGACUCCUACGGGAGGCAGCAGUGGGGAAUAUUGCACAAUGGGCGCAAGCCUGAUGCAGCGACGCCGCGUGAGGGAUGGAGGCCUUCGGGUUGUGAACCUCUUUCGCCAGUGAAGCAGGCCUGCCUCGUUUGUGGGUGGGUUGACGGUAGCUGGAUAAGAAGCGCCGGCUAACUACGUG
rnacentral:rRNA from 1 species